rnacentral:rRNA from 1 species
AGAGCAAGUGGUGGAUGCCUUGGCUAGUAGAGGCGAUGAAAGACGUGCCAGGCUGCGAUAAGUUUCGGGGAGCCGUCAAGGGGCUUUGAUCCGGGAAUUUCUGAAUGGGGCAACCCAACUAAUAGAGAUAUUAGUUACCGUAUAACGGAGCAAACGAGGGGAAUUGAAACAUCUUAGUACCCUCAGGAAAAGAAAUCAAAAGAGAUUACGCUAGUAGCGGCGAGCGAACGCGUAAGAGGGCAAACCACUAGUUUACUAGUGGGGUUGUAGGACUGCAAUAUAGACUAAACUUAGCUAAUAGAACGACCUGGAAAGGUUAGGCACAGAGGGUGAUACCCCCGUAUAUGAAAGCUUUGUUUUACUUAGCAGUAUCCUGAGUAGGGCGGAACACGUGAUAUUCUGUCUGAAGCUGGGUAGACCACUAUCCAACCCUAAAUACUACUACUAGACCGAUAGUGCACAAGUACCGUGAGGGAAAGGUGAAAAGAACUGAGGUGAUCAGAGUGAAAUAGAACCUGAAACCAUUUGCUUACAAUCAUUCAGAGCCCUAUGAUUUAUCAGGGUGAUGGACUGCCUUUUGCAUAAUGAGCCUGCGAGUUGUGAUGUCUGGCGAGGUUAAGGAAACCCGGAGCCGUAGCGAAAGCGAGUCUUAAUAGGGCGUUUAGUCAGACGUUGCAGACCCGAAACGAUGUGAUCUAUCCAUGAGCAGGUUGAAACCGGUGUAAGAGCCGGUGGAGGACCGAACCCGCUAGCGUUGAAAAGCUAUGGGAUGACUUGUGGAUAGGGGUGAAAGGCCAAUCAAACAUCGUGAUAGCUGGUUCUCUCCGAAAUAUAUUUAGGUAUAGCGUCAUGUAGUAACACUAGGGGGUAGAGCACUGAAUGGGCUAGGGCAUACACCAAUGUACCAAACCCUAUCAAACUCCGAAUACCUAGUGUGUAAUCAUGGCAGUCAGGCGGCGAGUGAUAAAAUCCGUCGUCGAGAGGGGAACAACCCAGACUAACAGCUAAGGUCCCUAAAUCUCAUUUAAGUGGAAAACGAUGUGGAGUUACUGAAACAACCAGGAGGUUGGCUUAGAAGCAGCCAUCCUUUAAAGAAAGCGUAAUAGCUCACUGGUCUAGUGAUUCUGCGCGGAAAAUAUAACGGGGCUAAAAUGAGUACCGAAGCUUUAGACUUAGUUUUACUAAGUGGUAGGAGAGCGUUGUAUUUGCGUUGAAGGUAUACCGGUAAGGAGUGCUGGAGCGAAUACAAGUGAGCAUGCAGGCAUGAGUAGCGAUAAUUGGGGUGAGAAUCCCCAACGCCGUAAACCCAAGGUUUCCUACGCGAUGCUCGUCAUCGUAGGGUUAGCCGGGUCCUAAGCAAAGUCCGAAAGGGGUAUGCGAUGGAAAAUUGGUUAAUAUUCCAAUGCCAACUAUAAUGUGCGAUGGAAGGACGCUUAGAGUUAGAGGAGCCAGCGGAUGGUAGUGCUGGUCGAAAGGUGCAGGUUGGAGUUCAGGCAAAUCCGGACUCCUUUAAGCCGAGGCCUUAUAGGUGCGUGAAGUUCUUCGGAAUGAAUCGUAAAUCCUUAAUACUGUCGAGCCAAGAAAAGUUUCUAAGUUUAGUUAUAGUUGCCCGUACCGUAAACCGACACAGGUGGGUGGGAUGAGUAUUCUAAGGCGCGUGGAAGAACUCUCUUCAAGGAACUCUGCAAAAUAGCACCGUAUCUUCGGUAUAAGGUGUGCCUAACUUUGUGAAGGAUUUACUCCGUAAGCAUUGAAGGUUACAACAAAGAGUCCCUCCCGACUGUUUACCAAAAACACAGCACUCUGCUAACUCGUAAGAGGAUGUAUAGGGUGUGACGCCUGCCCGGUGCUCGAAGGUUAAUUGAUGACGUUAGCUCUGCGAAGCGUUUGAUCGAAGCCCGAGUAAACGGCGGCCGUAACUAUAACGGUCCUAAGGUAGCGAAAUUCCUUGUCGAUUAAAUAUCGACCUGCAUGAAUGGCGUAACGAGAUGGGAGCUGUCUCGAAGAGGGAUCCAGUGAAAUUGUAGUGGAGGUGAAAAUUCCUCCUACCCGCGGCAAGACGGAAAGACCCCGUGGACCUUUACUACAGCUUGACACUGCUAUUGGGAUAAAAAUGUGCAGGAUAGGUGGGAGGCUUUGAUCCAUAGACGCCAGUUUAUGGUGAGCCGUUGUUGAGAUACCACUCUUUUUUAUUCUGAUAGCUAACUAGCUUGAGUUAUCCUCAAGUAGGACAAUGUCUGGUGGGUAGUUUGACUGGGGCGGUCGCCUCCCAAAAUGUAACGGAGGCUUACAAAGGUUGGCUCAGAACGGUUGGAAAUCGUUCGUAGAGUAUAAAGGCAAAAGCCAGCUUAACUGCGAGACAUACACGUCAAGCAGGGACGAAAGUCGGUCUUAGUGAUCCGGUGGUUCUGUGUGGAAGGGCCAUCGCUCAAAGGAUAAAAGGUACCCCGGGGAUAACAGGCUGAUCUCCCCCAAGAGCUCACAUCGACGGGGAGGUUUGGCACCUCGAUGUCGGCUCAUCGCAUCCUGGGGCUGUAGUCGGUCCCAAGGGUUGGGCUGUUCGCCCAUUAAAGCGGUACGCGAGCUGGGUUCAGAACGUCGUGAGACAGUUCGGUCCCUAUCCGUCG